GUGAGUGUAGUUUAGUAAAAUGCCAGAUUGUGAUUCUUGAGACAGAGGUUUGACCCCUCUCACUCACC
rnacentral:tRNA from 1 species